rnacentral:rRNA from 1 species
GAUGAACGCUGGCGGCGUGCCUAAUACAUGCAAGUCGAGCGAACGGACGAGAAGCUUGCUUCUCUGAUGUUAGCGGCGGACGGGUGAGUAACACGUGGAUAACCUACCUAUAAGACUGGGAUAACUUCGGGAAACCGGAGCUAAUACCGGAUAAUAUUUUGAACCGCAUGGUUCAAAAGUGAAAGACGGUCUUGCUGUCACUUAUAGAUGGAUCCGCGUUGCAUUAGCUAGUUGGUAAGGUAACGGCUUACCAAGGCAACGAUGCAUAGCCGAUCUGAGAGGGUGAUCGGCCACACUGGAACUGAGACACGGUCCAGACUCCUACGGGAGGCAGCAGUAGGGAAUCUUCCGCAAUGGGCGAAAGCCUGACGGAGCAACGCCGCGUGAGUGAUGAAGGUCUUCGGAUCGUAAAACUCUGUUAUUAGGGAAGAACAUAUGUGUAAGUAACGGUGCACAUCUGGACGGUACCUAAGCAGAAAGCCACGGCUAACUACGU